CCUUUUGCCCUUUUUUUUUAUUUAUUUUCCUUUUCUGUUUUAUUUCUAGUUUCUCUUUUAUUUUGUUUUAGCAAAAUACCAAAAUGGCACCUAAUUUGUUGUUACCAAAUAAGUCACAACCACAAAAAGUUUCAUCCCAAAAUAAUAUAUUUUAAUAUUUUACAAAAUACAAAAGGCAUUUAAUUAAUGGUUUUAGCUACUGAUUUAAUUAGUUUGGUGCAUUUAAACAUUUUAUAAAGACUUGGUUCCUCCACCAAUAUUACAUAUGAUUUAUUUGUCACCUUUAGAACAUUUUAGUUUUGACAUUUGAAAAGUUUUAUUUUCCACUUUUAAAUUUAAUUGAAGUUUGAACUAGGAGUUUUGAAAAGGAAAUGUGAUUCAAAUGUGAUCAAGCCCUGUUUAGCGACAUGAUUAGCUUAAUCACAGGGAGUUACUGUAGCAUGAUUCUCGGGGUGUUACAAAUCUCCUCCACUACAAGAAAUCUCGUCCCGAGAUUUAAGAGGGGAGUAAGGGGGGAAGGUUUGGUACCGAAUCUAGCGGGUCUUCUCAUCCUGGCUUGCACUUCUGGAAGAGGCUGGUCCAAUACAUUGAUGUCUUCAUUUCUCUGCUCCGGUCAUCAUGAUGAAGUCGGCGUCCUUUCUUCAGGAACUCCAUCAUACUUGCGAAAGAAUAAGGGGUGGGCAUUCUGGGAGAACGGGCCUCGACAAGGUUGUCUAUCGGGUCGACAGCAUCGAGGAAGGUGGCGAAAGGUAACCCUCGAAUCGAAACUUAAGAAAAUAUCGAGAGCAAAGUAAGGAGGUAACCUGGGAAGUUUCGAGCGGGCAGGCAAUCGUUCGAUGCCUGUUAUAGGGCGUGAAAGGGUCAAAGCAACGGGAAUAAGUAUUGUGUCCGAUAUCAGACCUGAAGGUGGCUUGUGAAUUACAUACGAGGCCAGGUGCGAGGAACAACCUUGAAAACAGGGGGUGUACAUAAGAGUCAGGUUUCGAUCCUGUGGAACUGUGGGUUAUGGGCCCACCAUGUGGGUUAAAAGUGGGAACGGCGGUGACAUCUUGCACGAUCAUGAUAGCAAGGCAUGUCAGAGGGUAACCUGUCAGUUAUAUGUCAGCAACAUCGUCGGUACCAAGGGCGAGGGACGAAGAGAACCAUUUUCCUGCUCGUUGAAACGAGGCGGACCAAUAGGCAAAGUUCUCGUCCAUCGGUGGUUACCGGAAUGUCACCAACAAUAGUAACAGGGUCUUACUGACAGAGUUGUACACUGAGGUGUUUGCACAAGCAGGGAAUUAAUACUGCUUAGAUCAUAUAGUCCACCAGAAAAGUUAAACCAAACAAUGGAAAGGAAAAUAUGAUUAUCAGAUUAAACAGAAGAAUGGAAAGGAAAAUGUGUUUAAACACAUAUUUCAAGGUUAUAUCCUUUCCAAGGACAAGCAGAGCAUGAUAUCCAUGACAUGAUAUAAUGUAGAAAACUCUUUAGGUACGGGAGAGACAAUUUCAUGACAUUACCCAUACAAUGGUGUUUGGAUAAUUGAGCAGGAAACAUUUAGCAUUGGGCUUCAAAUGUUCCUGUUGAAAAUCGGAGUACCAUAGACAUGCUUUGAGAUAGCAUUGACAUGGUCAACAGGUGAAGAUCAGAAUUUGGAAACAAAAAGGAUCCAUCAGGAACAACUUAUAGAAUAAGUCUUACAAUUUCCUCAUGGAAGAAUAGAUAACCUUGCUGAAGGGAAAACUUAUAACAAUAGGUCCUCCCGCCAGGUGUGCUGGGUAUCAUCACCUUACCGGGUCAUAAAUAGGUCAAUGUUAUAACUCUUGGAAAUAUGUUCCAACCAUCAUAUCUGACCGAGAUUCAGAUCUGAUUGGUGUCAGGGUAACUCAGACUCAGGAUGCCUGAGAAGAAAGGUGCAACACAAAUUGUCGAAACGACAGCGGAGAUUCUCGGGAGAUGAACUAUGGAAGCGAGUUCUGGACAAGGGUUCAUCGUUACAUCAAGGAGAGGUGAGGAGGUGACUGAUUGACUCAGCGACACUCCAUUGAGAUUCCCAAAAGAUGGAUUUCCAUCACUAUGUGAACAAGGAGAUAACAUUAGCUAGAUCGAAUGACUUAAUGAUGUAUGCUCGAGGAAAACAUACAUAGUUAAACAUUGGUUGAAAUGUGCACCCGAAAUAUGGGCUAGGUAGCACAAACAAUGUCCGAAUGAUGAUUCAUUAAGCCAUAGACGUAGAAUGAAACUAUAGGCCAAUAACUUCAAAGCAAUAGGGUUGCUAGAAGUUUAGAAUUUACACAUCACAGACCAUUGGUCGGUAUUCCUUUUAGAAACAACACGGGGACCAAGAAAGAAUGGUGAUGGGGAGAAGUAUCACUGUACCAAGAUGUCAUACGAGGUGGUGAGAUUCUUACGACAUUCUUGACAUAAAAGAUGGUAAUACUCCAGGGUAGAACAUAUCAUAAGCUAGAUAGCAAGGAAAUCAAGGUACAACACAAAACACGAACAAGUUUGUGUUGAAUGGAAGGCAAUAAAAUGGUCGAUGAUAAAACAAAUCAUCGAGGGCAAGGAUGGUAUUUCUCAUCCAGAAUUCGAUAGAUAUCUUGGAAGAGCUCAGAAUGUUGAUGAUGUUCACGACACAUUUGUAGCGAGAAUUUAUGAAGAGGUAAUCGAUCGGCGAUGUCAUCAAGUCGAAGGAAUAAUGAAGCGGACGGUUAUUGGAACCAUGAUUAGGACACACGCUUGAACUCAAGCUUGUUGUUCCAGGUGAAAUGGUAUGAGAGGAAAAUCGGCGUAGGCUUAGCUCAUCAUCGAAAGUUGUGUUACGGGGUUAAGGACCAGGUAGCACAGUUAAAAUUUAGCACGCUAAUGAUAUAGCCGAUCAGGCUAGGAAUGAUUUAAUGAUUAUUAAACUCGUAAGCAACGAAAAUUACCUAGAGUUAUUGAAUCGGAGUGCGGACUUGAUUCACUAUUCGGUGUUCUCAGUUGACAAACAACCCAGAGCCCAUGAAGUGACAAAGACAAGGUAAGGUAGUACUUCAUCAAAGUUUAUAAGAUGUAGUGCAAUGGUAAGAUAUCCCCGAGAUACCAGGGGUAACACUCAAGGUAGAUCAUAAUAGAGGUUGGGCAGGCGUAUUGACCUGCAGGAGACAAGUGAUUUAACUUGUCCAAGAAAUGGUAUUUAAAGGAGAACAUGGUCGGAACCACGAUUGAAAAAGGCCAGAUCCCAGAUAUAAGAUGAACUUAUACCAAGGGAAUAAUUAAUUUAAGAGAAGCUUUUAGUGAUAAGAUCUACAUCGUGUCCAUGGGCAUGAACACAAAGUUCAAGGUCGACUCCCACUUCUUCAAUGCAUAACCUUCCCUUCGCCUCUCGUAUUUUGAUAAUGACAUUAGAUGUCGAAAGUUUUACCUGGUGCAAUACCAGAUAAGUAUGUCCCGCGAAAUCUUUCGGGUUCACACAGAUUAAUGAAGGCAUAGGUUCAACCCAUCGGGGCAUCGAAGAAAGAUAGACUACAAACUUCAGGAGUAAAUAACACAAGCUCAGAAGUAGAGCACGGUCGACAAAGCAGAGGAUACAAUUUACCAAAGGCAUCAUGUAUCCGAGGAAAAGCUCACAAGCUUAUUUAAUAUGGAGGACAUUGUCGGAUAAAAUCCGACAAAAGGGUCUGGUGGUCCACAAGGGAUCUGAUGUGAGCAUCAGUACUCAACCAGAGGAAGAAGAAUGUAAGGAGAUCUGAUUAUGGAAACAACUGACUAACUCAAAGUUCAAAUGCAAAGGAAUUAUGAUUUCCAAAUCAGGGGGUCAGAAGCAACGCUCUGAGCAAGGAUGGUUAAGUUGAGUAGGCUUAGGGGUACCAUCGAUGGCAAUUUGAUAGGUCGAGAUCCAGCUCACGUUUAGAAUGGCGUCCGAGCCGGAAGAAUGAAUUCUAGAAUAUGAUUGAGGUUUGCGAGCAUUCACAACAAAUUGAAUCAACGGACUCAAAAUGAUAAAGACAAGAGAUGCCAAUAAGAUUACGAGACUUAUGGGAUUAACCAUAAUGCAAGCAAACAAGAAUUUCAAGAGCAAUAGGCUCCUGAGAAUUUUCGGAAGAUCGAAUAGUAUUUUGAAGACUAUUGUGGAAUACUUGAAUCAACUGGGGAUGAGCGGAUACUCGGUAAGUGCGAGAAUUAUCCGUAGGGGUAUUCAGGUGACAAAGAACAGCAAGGCAGUAAGCUCAAAGGAUUCUCGGAACGACAGAGAGAAUUUCGGGGUAUCUUGUAAUAACAAGAUCAACUGGGAAACAUUGUAUGAGUGGCAAGUAUACGUGGUUAUCCAUAGGAGUUUAUCGAUGAAAGGGAAUUGCAAAAGCGAUGAACACAAGUUCUCGGGUUAUCAGCGGAGAGUAUCUUCAGGGUCUUCACGGGCAGCAGACGAUCAUCAGUAAUAAGGGGCUCUCCGAGUGAAAGUGAUAACGAGAUCCUAAUGUUAGAUUUAGCAAAAUUCACUUAACCCGAAUAGAAGAGAGAUCAGAGUCCCAGAGUAUAGACAAGGAGUAAAAGAUCCUAAUACCACCCAAUGGCGACGUGGGCCCGUAAGCUACACAGCCAUGUUAGUAAAAGUUUUUCAACGACUAGACUCGACUUCGGCCAAGGAGUGUGGAAGGGGGGUUCCUACAGGCAGUCGGCUCUGAUACCAACUUGUGACGCCCCCGAUUUGAACGUACACUAAUCAUGCACGCAAAUGUGUACGACCAAGAUCAGGGACUCACGGGAAGAUAUCACAACACAACUCUAAAACAUAAAUAAGUCAUACAAGCAUCAUAAUACAAGCCAGGGGCCUCGAGGGCUCGAAUACAAGUGCUCGAUCACAGACGAGUCAGCGGAAGCAACAAUAUCUGAGUACAGACAUAAGUUAAACAAGUUUUGCCUUAAGAAGGCUAGCACAAAACUAGCAACGAUCGAAAAGGCAAGGCCUCCUGCCUGGGACCUCCUAACUACUCCUGGUCGUCGUCAGCGGCCUGCACGUAGUAGUAGGCACCUCCAGUGCCGUGGGAGUCGUCGUCGACGGUGUCGUCUGGCUCCUGGACUCCAACAUCUGGUUGCGACAACCAGAUAGAAAGGAAAGGGGGGAAAAGAGGGAGAGAAGCAACCGUGAGUACUCAUCCAAAGUACUCGCAUGCAAGGAGCUACACUACAUAUGCAUGGGUAUAUGAGUAAAGAGGCAUAUCAGUGGACUGAACUGCAGAAUGCCGGAAUAAGAGGGGGAUAGCUAGUCCUGUCGGAGGCUAAGCUUCUGGACAUCUCCAUCUUGCAGCAUGUAGAAGAGAGUAGAUUGAAGUCCUCCAAGUAGCAUCGCGUAGCAUAACCCUACCCGGCGGUCCCCUCCUCGUCACCCUGUUAGAGGACGAUCACCGGGUUGUAUCUGGCACUUGGAAGGAUGUAUUUUAUUCAGUAUCCAGUUCUAGUUGUCAUAAGCUCAAGGUACAACUCCGGGUCGUCCUUUUACCGAGGGACACGGCUAUUCGAAUAGAUAAACUUCCCUGCAGGGGUGCACCACAUAACCCAACACGCUCGAUCCCAAUUGGCCGGACACACUUUUCUGGGUCAUGCCCGGCCUCGUAAGAUCAACACGUCGCAGCCCCACCUAGGCUCAACAGAGAGGUCAGCACGCCGGUCUAAACCUAUGCGCGCAGGGGUCUGGGCCCAUCGCCCUAAGCACACCUGCACGUUGCGAACGCGGCCGCGAGCAGACCUAGCAACCCACACGAUCACGGCGGUUACGUCAAAGCGGUCCAACACGGCGCGCGCCACUCAGUCGCUGACGUCAAAAGAGCUUCGGCUAAUACCACGACGUCGGGAUACCCAUAACUACUCCCACGUAGAUGGUUAGUGCGUAUAGACCAAAUGGCCAGACUCAGAUCAAAUACCAAGAUCUCGUUAAGCGUGUUAAGUAUCCGCGAACGCCGACCAGGGCCAGGCCCACCUCUUACCUAGGCGGUCUCAACCUGCCCUGUCGCUCCGCCACAAAGAUCCACUUGCGGGUACUCCUACGAGCCGACCCGACUUUAGUCAUCACAUGUGUCAUGUAUAUAGUGUAUAUAGUAUAUACCCGUGAUCACGGCCCAGGUGAUCACGGCCCGAUAGUAUAGCACAGCAGACGGACAAGAAUGUAGGGCCACUGAUGGAAAUCUAGCAUCCUAGACUAAGCAUGUAGGAUUGCAGGUAAAGGUGUCAACAGUAGAAGCAAGGAUAGGCUAUGCAUCAGAAUAGGAUAUCGAAAAGCAGUAACAUGCUACACUACUCUAAUGCAAGCAGUAUAGAGGAGAGUAGGCGAUAUCUGGUGAUCAAGGGGGGGGCUUGCCUGGUUGCUCUGGCAAGUAGGAGGGGUCGUCGACUCCGUAGUCGAACUGGGCAGCAGCAGUGUCGGUCUCGUAGUCUACCGGAGAGAAGAGGGGGAAGAAACAGUAAAUACAAUGCAAACAUAAGCAGGACGAUGCGUGACAUGACAGUGAGCGGUGCUAGGGGUGUCCUAACGCGACAGUAGGUGGUACCGGUGAAGGGGGGGAACAUCCGGGAGGUAUUCCCGAUGUUUCGCGUUUUCGGACAGACGGACCGGAGGGGGAAAGUUGCUAGUUCGAUAGGAUAGGGAGGUGUGGUGGACGAACGGACUGCGUAUUCGGAUUCGUCUUGUCGUUCUGAGCAACUUUCAUAUAGAAAACAUUUUCAUCCGAGUUACGGUUUAAAAGAAAUUAAUUUUCAAAGUUUAUUUGAAUUUCUGGAAUUAUCUAAUUAACAGAAAAAAUGAAUUAUGACGUCAGCAUGAGGCAAUGCUGACGUCAGCAAGUCAACAGGUCGGCUGACCAGUCAAACCAGACAGGUGGGUCCAGUGGGACCCACAUGUCAGCCUCUGUUAGUCUAAUACUUAAUUAGACUAAUCUAACAGUAUAAUUAGAGGGAUGGGCCCCACAUGUCAGUGAGUGUUUAGCUAAACUAAUUAUUUUUAUUUAUAAAACAUUUUCUUUUUCUUUAUUUUUUUAAUUUCUGCGGCGGGGCCCGCAUGUCAGUGACUGGGCCUGCCCAGUCAGCAGUUGACUGGGUCAACCCAGUCAACUGGGGCCCGUGGGGGCCACUGGCAGGGGCACUGGGGUGGGGCCCGGAGGGGCACGUCGGCGGGCGGCGCCGGAGACACGCCGGCGACCAUCUCCGCGGCGGAGCAUCGCCGGACUUCGUCGGAAAAACGCUACGGGGCACGAGGAUAGGUGCGGCUAGGCGCGUUCGAUCGAGCGUCCGACGCCGUAUCGAUCUACGUCGGUCCCAUGGGCUAACUCGACCGGAGUGGCGCGUUACAUCGACGGCGGUGUCGACCGUGGCGGACGCCGGUGAUCUGGCGUCAUCGCGAACAACGACAGAGGCUGCGACAUGCCCAAAAGAGGGGUCCGACGAGGUCCUAGAGGUGCCCGGAGCACGUCUACGAGCUCGGUUGAGCACUUUAUCGUCGGUAGCGACGGCGACGAGCACCGCGGCGGAGAAAAGCUCGGGUGAAAUGGAAGUGGCGGCUACGGGCAUCUACGGGCAGCGCUGAGAGAGGGGGAAGGAGAGACUGCUCACCGGGGAGGCACACGGAGGCCACGGUGGUGGCUUAGGAGCAGCAGGGCGUCGGCAAUCGGCGGAGGAGCGCCGGCGACCGUAGGCGCGGAAGAACUCGAUUCCGGGGCUGUGGUGGCGCCGAGCUCGAACCCUUGGUCAGAGAUGGAGUAGAGGAAGCAGGCGUAGCUGUUGGACUCCUCGGCGAGGCGCGGGGAGCAUGGUGGCCGCGUUAAUGGCGAACGGCGGCGAUGAUGGUGCUCGGGCGAGAUGGAAAAGCGAGGGAGAGGAGCAGGCGGGGGAGAAAGAUCUCAAGGGUUGUCGACGAGGCCUAGGGGACUCGUCCUUAUCCCCUCGGCGAUGUGGCGGCGUGGGGCGGCGAGCAGGUCCGGCGGGGACGGCGAGGGCGUACGCCCUCGGUCGGGUGAACAGACGACGAGGGGGGGAAGACGACAAGGGGAGGGGGGCUUGCUGGGCCGCUGGACCGAUUCGGUCGGCUGGGCCAGUGGGCCAAGGCCCUUGGGGAGCCGGGGGGGUUUUCUUUCCUUUUGCCCUUUUUUUUAUUUAUUUUCCUUUUCUGUUUUAUUUCUAGUUUCUCUUUUAUUUUGUUUUAGCAAAAUACCAAAAUGGCACCUAAUUUGUUGUUACCAAAUAAGUCACAACCACAAAAAGUUUCAUCCCAAAAUAAUAUAUUUUAAUAUUUUACAAAAUACAAAAGGCAUUUAAUUAAUGGUUUUAGCUACUGAUUUAAUUAGUUUGGUGCAUUUAAACAUUUUAUAAAGACUUGGUUCCUCCACC
rnacentral:lncRNA from 1 species